GCAAGGAAAAAAAAAGACGAMUAAAGGGUUUUAGAAAACAACAGAGAGAUUGAGGACUGGGAAGAUGGAUGAAAGUUGCUGAAAUGGAGAAGAAGGAGAAGCUUUCCGAUUCGGAGCUAAGAUCUAGAAUUUGGUCAAAUGGAAUUUGGAACAGCGUAGGAUCCGGUUUAAAGGAUUUGUUGAGAAGUUGGCGUAAUUAGGUCGCAGGGGACGCAGGGGAAUGUCGGGGCG